rnacentral:rRNA from 1 species
GGGAUGGGUCGCGCGGAUCUUCAGAGAUUAGAGUUUGAUCCUGGCUCAGGAUGAACGCUAGCGGCAGGCUUAAUACAUGCAAGUCGUGGGGCAGCAGGUUUGUAGCAAUACAGAUGCUGGCGACCGGCAAACGGGUGCGGAACACGUACAGAACCUUCCUUUGAGCGGGGAAUAGCCCAGAGAAAUUUGGAUUAAUACCCCAUAGUAUAAUGAAGUGGCAUCACUUUAUUAUUAAAGAUUUAUCACUCGAAGAUGGCUGUGCGGCUGAUUAGGUAGUUGGCGGGGUAAAGGCCCACCAAGCCUGCGAUCAGUAACUGGUGUGAGAGCACGACCAGUCACACGGGCACUGAGACACGGGCCCGACUCCUACGGGAGGCAGCAGUAAGGAAUAUUGGUCAAUGGAGGCAACUCUGAACCAGCCAUGCCGCGUGGAGGAUGAAGGUCCUCUGGAUUGUAAACUUCUUUUAUAUGGGACGAAAAAAGGCUUUUCUAAGUCGUCUGACGGUACCAUAUGAAUAAGCACCGGCUAACUCCGUGCCAGCAGCCGCGGUAAUACGGAGGGUGCAAGCGUUAUCCGGAUUCACUGGGUUUAAAGGGUGCGUAGGUGGGUUGGUAAGUCAGUGGUGAAAUCCCCGAGCUUAACUUGGGAACUGCCAUUGAUACUAUCAGUCUUGAAUACCGUGGAGGUCGGCGGAAUAUGUCAUGUAGCGGUGAAAUGCUUAGAUAUGACAUAGAACACCAAUUGCGAAGGCAGCUGGCUACGCGGAUAUUGACACUGAGGCACGAAAGCGUGGGGAUCAAACAGGAUUAGAUACCCUGGUAGUCCACGCCCUAAACUAUGGAUACUCGACAUUUGCGAUAAACUGUAAGUGUCUGAGCGAAAGCAUUAAGUAUCCCACCUGGGAAGUACGAUCGCAAGAUUGAAACUCAAAGGAAUUGGCGGGGGUCCGCACAAGCGGUGGAGCAUGUGGGUUUAAUUCGAUGAUACGCGAGGAAACCUUACCUGGGCUAGAAUGCUGGGAGACCGUGAGUGAAAGG